ACGAAGGAUUCAAGCGUUGUCCGGAUUUACUGGGUUUAAAGGGUGCGUAGGCGGAAAUAUAAGUCAGUGGUGAAAUCCCGCAGCUCAACUGCGGAACUGCCAUUGAAACUGCAUUUCUUGAAUACGGUUGAGGUAGAUGGAAUGUAACAUGUAGCGGUGAAAUGCUUAGAUAUGUUACAGAACUCCGAUUGCGAAGGCAGUCUACUAAGCCGUUAUUGACGCUGAGGCACGAAAGCGUGGGGAGCAAACAGGA
rnacentral:rRNA from 1 species